rnacentral:misc_RNA from 1 species
AAAGAACGCAUCCGCAGACUCCCGAGUCCUGACUCAUCCUGCGUUGAUCAAUUCCACAGUCUUUCCUCCCAAGAAACAGAUUCACAGAAGAAGGCCGCAGAGAGGGAGAGAGAAAAGAGGCGUAAUCUUAUCAAUUAGAUACACAGAGAAUCAAGAUAAUCCUUUUUUAGCCUCAGAAAGAGAAGCCGAUCUGAUCGCUCUUUUAUUAUAAUUGAAAUUCACCCAAAAUUACUAUAAAGAAAUGGGAACGCUUCAGACUUGGAGAAAAGCCUAUGGCGCUCUCAAAGAUUCCACCAAAGUCGGUCUCGCUCAUGUCAACAGCGACUAUGCGGAAUUGGAUGUCGCUGUAGUCAAAGCAACCAACCACGUCGAGUGUCCACCCAAAGAGAGGCACCUUAGAAAAAUCUUGAUUGCCACGUCAGCGGUUCGUCCUCGUGCUGAUGUUGCUUAUUGUAUUCAUGCUCUUUCCCGCCGAUUGGCCAAGACCCAUAAUUGGACGGUUGCAUUGAAAACAUUGAUUGUCAUCCAUAGAUUAUUAAGAGAGGGUGAUCCUACUUUCAGAGAAGAACUACUAAAUUUCUCACAGAGAGGACGCAUCCUACAACUUUCUAACUUCAAGGAUGAUUCAAGUCCUAUUGCCUGGGAUUGCUCUGCCUGGGUACGUACAUAUGCUCUAUUUUUGGAGGAGCGGCUUGAAUGCUUUAGAAUUCUCAAGUAUGACAUUGAAGCUGAGCGUAUUCCAAGACCUGCCCAAGGGCAAGAUAAGGGCUACAGCAGAACCAGGGAAUUGGAUAGUGAAGAACUGUUGGAACAGUUGCCUGCAUUGCAGCAUCUACUGUAUCGCCUUGUUGGUUGUCGGCCUGAAGGUGCAGCUGUUAGCAAUUAUGUUAUACAGUAUGCUUUAGCGCUGGUAUGUUGCUCUAUCUGCUAUAAUUCCUGUCUUGUGAAGAGUUAUAUUUCUACUAUUGACCUUUUCAAGUUUUUUUAGCGUUAAUAAUUUUUCCAUGUUUGAGGUGUUUGAAAUCCCACACAAUAUUUUAAAAUAUCUAUUAUCAUGGUAAAGUUAACUAAACUCAACUAUAAGCCUUAAUCUCAAGUUAAUUAUGGUUGGCUAUAUUAUCAUGAUAUUUUGCUGUAGACCUGAAGUAAAGAUGAACUGUAUGUCUUAUAACACGACCCAGAAUAUUUCAUUGGAUUUAUAUGUGUAUCAUGUUAAGCAAAUGGAGUAGGAUACCAAGUUCAGCUGGAAGGGGUAAUGGAACUAAUUCAGUUAUUCAAAUUGAGGAAGACAUGGGUGGGGCUUGAAUUUAUGCUUUCUGUAUAUGUAUUAUAAUUAAUUUGAUGAAAUUGAUGGCAUGCAAUUUUCAGGUAUUGAAAGAGAGCUUUAAAAUAUAUUGUGCUAUUAAUGAUGGAAUUAUCAAUCUUGUGGAUAAGGUAAUCUAGAUUUAUUUUUUAAAAAUCAUUAUGUGCACGAGUCCACUUUUUUGCUGUGUCUUUGUAUUGGUGAUAAAUCUUGUGUAUGUUUUCAGUUUUUUGAGAUGCCAAGGCAUGAAGCUUUCACCGCCCUUGAUGUCUACAAACGAGCUGGCCAGCAGGUCAUAUUGUGAAUUGAGUUUUCUUAUGUCAGCUUCUAGUUAAAUGUUCUUGGUCAACCUUUAUUGUUUGUUAGAAUGUUCUUUAUGUUGUAGCAGAAAUGAUGAAACUAAGGUUUCAGCAGUUAAAAUUAUCUAUAUGGGUUGUACCUGCAGGCUGGUAGUCUUUCCGAUUUCUAUGAAGUUUGCAAAGGAUUGGAACUUGCUAGGAACUUCCAAUUUCCUGUUUUGAGAGAAGUAUUUGCUGCUAUGAGAUGGGUUUAAUGUUUUCCUUGGUUUAGUAUUUUCUUAUUAUGGCAGUCAGUCUAAUUUUAUCAUUGUUUUUCAUUUGCAGCCUCCGCAAUCCUUUCUUACAACCAUGGAAGAGUAUAUAAGAGAGGCACCGAGAGUUGUUUCUGUUCCAAGUGAGCCACUGGUCGGUACAAUUACUAUGAUUUCUGGGUCAAUAUAUUUGUUGCAAUGGGGCACAUUUUCCGGUUCAUAUUUUAUUCAGUUCUGCACAAUACUGCACACUACUUUAAUCAAACUUUAGAAACACAGGAUUCUUCAAUGUUAAACUGCAACUUCUUCUAUUUCAAAAAGACAGUUAAAGUGAUCCAGAAAUAGAGAAUAUUUAUCAAUUUUAGCCAAUCUAUAAAUAGGGAAUAUAAGCAUAAGAAAUGUCAAAAUUUGAUUAUUUACAGACAUAAUCACAUAGUUCUUUGCUUGUGAAGAUAUAUGGUUGGGUGCUCCUUUCUAUAUACGGAUUCUCAACAAGAAAGGAGCAGUUGGAUUCCAUUACUGCGUAGAUAGCUGGAUCUACAUUAGAUCCCGUCUAAUCAUUCCAUGUAUUCUAAUGAGGAGAAGUUUGGUUUGAAUAAUUCAAACAGCAGUGCCUUGGAAGGAUUUAAUUAUCAAGUAGGAGCAAUACAUUCAAGACUUCAUUUCUCAGAGGCUUAAAGCUAAAGAGCUAGUUGCUUCAAGAAUGUAAUGGCUAAUGGGAUCAUGAAAAUCAAUUAUUGCAACUUUGAUUUUGUUGGAAUAGCCUUUAGACCAGCUAUACAUAAUAAUGGGAUUGAACAUGGCUGUUAAAGAGCAACAUGCUUGAAAGAAGAGUAUGUUUGAUGGUAAAAUGUCAUGGCUGAUUGAGCUUCCAUAAAGGAUAAUAUUAAUUAAAGCAUGUGUAGAUAGGUAGAAAUAAUAAUUUCAGUUGAAGGAAACUUGCAUAUGAUGGUUUAGUUUUCUGAAAUGAAAACCAAUUCCAUUGACCAUAAUGGGUUAUAUAAAAGCAAAAUGAAAUAGAUAGAAGAAUGAACAUGAGAUGGGGUCAUAAGCUAAUUAUGUUUUAUCCUUAAUCUCACUGACUACAAGCCUCUUUGACAGGUCUAGUUGGCAGAAAAGAAUACAUGGUCUUAUAAUUAUACAUUGCUUUUGCUCCGAUCUCAUUUCCUUGUCAUUAACAUCUGUUGAUUAUUUUGCUUUGUGAGGAAAUCACUUUUAAAGGCAGAUGCUUUGGGACUAAUUUGUGGUCAUUUUAAACAGCUCCAAUUAACAUAUAGGCCAGAAGAGGGUCCUUCUGAAGCUGAAGACACCAAAGUACCCAGUGAUGAACCUGAGCCAAUGCCUUCAGAUGAUGUUGUUGUCUCCAGUGCUGAGAUUGUGCCUCCCACUCCUAUCACACCUCCUCAAAACAACAUGGACACUGGAGAUUUACUGGGAUUGAGUUAUGACGCACCUGAUGCAUCAGCCAUUGAAGAAAGAAAUGCGUUGGCUCUGGCUAUAGUUCCAAUUGAACAGGAUGCUGCGCCAACAUUCAAUUCUGGUGCUGCUCAAGCGAAAGAUUUUGACCCUACUGGAUGGGAGCUUGCCCUGGUUACCACUCCG